GUUCUUUCACCGCCUAAGGCAACGCCGCUUCCUCGGCGUUUUCACGGGGGACCCAAAUUCCACCGCGCUCGCGCGCGGCGGACGGGGCGCAUGGUCGCGGGCAACCGCGAGCAAGGUCACUUCCUAGGACCUAGCCCGUCAGCUAACCUCGUCGGCAAUGGGAAGGGUGAU
rnacentral:sRNA from 1 species